GGUGCGGAAAUUUGUAUUUUGGAUCUCGAAUUGCAUCAAGAAAUAUUCUAGUGUCAUGUGCCGAUCCUUCCCAUCCAGCCAUGACAAAUGUGAAACACAUAUUAAAAUCACAUACUGCCAUAACAUUUUGAGUCAGGAUACCUUUUCUUCCAAUAUAGGGAAUUUGUUCAUUUGGUGGAAGAAUAGCCGCAAUGUGAGUACCAUCAAUUGCACCUAUGCAAUCCUAAACAAAUAAUCAUAUUACUCUCGUGCAUAUUUUUAGUUGACCAAAUAUAUCAAGCUAUAAUAAUAUAAAAUUAAAUUUUAACCUUAAAAUGCGGCAUAUAUCUAGAAUCUUUACGUAUUUGUUCGGGUAUUGAGCUAAAAAAAGGAUCUUCAGGUGCAAUUCGAUCAGUGGUCAUCCUUGAAACUUUAUCAAGCACAAUUGCAAAGUGUCGACUUAUUGUUGAUCCAGAUCUUUGAAAUCUUUCUCGACAUUGGGAAACUUUUGCUCCGGUGCCCAAGAUGUAUAAAAAAAAUUCCCAACAUUUCACUAGAAGAUAUGUUUCUUGAAGUUUGCAAGUUGUAUCUUGUCUCCAAAACUCUCAACAAACUUGUGAAUACCAUUUUAGACAUCCUAAAAUUAAUCAUACAACGUGAUUCGUGACCAUCAAGGAUCUCUCGGAUCUAUGUCUCACCUGACUGUUUUGAAUCCAUGCAUGGUUGCCUCAAUAUAUACUUCUCGUAAUAUAAUUGUACGGAAGAAGAUGCAACAACAAAUAAUCAGUUAAAACAUUCUAUGCGUUGUAAAAUCUCUUUCUUUUCUCUUUCUUCAUCACUUUCAUCACCGCUGUAAUCGUCAACUAUACUCAUCACCUGUGAAUAAAUUUACAUUGUAAAAUCAUAUAUAAACAACUAUUGAUAAAACUAAUUUAAUAAAAAUAAGUAGAACAUAAAUUCAAUAUCUAAAGACCAAACAUAAACAACUAUUAAUAAAACUAGAUUACACAUAAAUAAGUAGAACAUAAAUUCAAUAUCCAAAAACAAAACAUAAAUAACUAUUGAUAAAACUAGUUAGCAUUGUCAGCUAGUCACAUAAUAGAUAUCUUUGAACCUUAGAAGAUCAAAAAAUUUUCAACUAUCCUCCAUUUCAGUCUUAAGCCACAAAGCUCUAAUCUUGGGAUUAAUUGAUAAAAAAAUAAUUCGCUUGUCCUUAUUGAGCAGUAAUUUAAGUGCGAAAAAGUAUAGCGGACUAGCUUCUAGAACUUCUUCCGACAUGCUGUCAAGCAUUUUGACUGCUUGUGGAAUACCAUAUGGAUAUAUAACAGGAGUCAAACUAGAUGUGGCUUGACUCAUAUUGUCAACUGCACUGCAUAAUUUUUCUAUUUGACUAGAUAAUCUUGCAGCCCCUCCAAUUUGCUUUGAGGAUUUCUUUAUUCCAGUUUUAAAACGUGAACUUGAUAUCUCAGGGUUUUUUUUUAUUUUUUAACCGUUUUCAUCAAUUUGAACAUCAUUUGAGAUGUGAACAUCAUUUGAAAUGUGAACAUCAUUUAAAAUGUGAACAUUAUUUCUCAUAUUUUCUUCUUCAUUCUCUUCAGGUAUUUCGUUGUUAACAUCCUCAAAAAAAUCAAUACGGAGUGUACCAGAAGAAGGUGCCCAUGCUUUAUCACAUGUUGCAACUAUCCCCAUGAACAUUUGGUCCAACUUCGCUUCGAAUUCAGGAUCAAUGCCCAAUGUUCUAAAUUUUUUAGCUUCAGGCACAACAUACAUAUAAAAUGAUAGUUUAAUAACAGUAAUUAUCAAUAACCUCAUAAAUAAGGAAAAAAAUAAAAAUAUUCAGAAUUAUUAAUGUACCUGGAGCCUACUCUCCCACCAAUCAUUUGAUGCAUCAACAGUUCUUUUUAUAGGAUUCCACCCUAGACCAGUAUCUUCGCCUUUAAGUUUCUUCCAAGCUUUCUAUUCUUUUUUAGGGCAUCCCACCUAUUUUUAAGUUGUCUUUGUGAAAAACCCUUGCUCAUUUCUUUCUCAAAGGUGGUCAUUAUUUUCAACCAUCCAUCUUUUGCGAAAUGAGUACCAGGCCUAUUGCCUUUCAAUAUCUCUUUAAUACAAACAUCACAAAAUAUUUCAGUCAAUCUCUUAUCCCACAUUGCUUUCACUUUUUCAUCACUAACUUCAGCCGCUGAAGUACUCAUCUAUUGUGUAUACGAACAGAUUCGUUUCAGCCAAUAAAGCAAUCAAGAAAAUCAAAUGUCACAUAAGUAUAUUUGUUUACAUAUGUAUCAAAAUUUUAACUAUAUGCAUGAACAAAUAACAGUAAAAGAUAUGUAUGACCUUAUUCUAAGGGAAACAUCUAUUUUUUGUAUCAAUUAACUAUUUAAAAAAUAUUAUGGGUGACUCCAUUUUGAUACACUCUCCCACCAUUAAUUAAUAAUAAUAGUAGAAUAUAC
rnacentral:lncRNA from 1 species